GACGAACGCUGGCGGCGUGCUUAACACAUGCAAGUCGAACGGAAAGGCCCUGCUUUUGUGGGGUGCUCGAGUGGCGAACGGGUGAGUAACACGUGAGUAACCUGCCCUUGACUUUGGGAUAACUUCAGGAAACUGGGUCUAAUACCGGAUAGGAGCUCCUGCUGCAUUGUGGGGGUUGGAAAGUUUCGGCGGUUGGGGAUGGACUCGCGGCUUAUCAGCUUGUUGGUGGGGUAGUGGCUUACCAAGGCUUUGACGGGUAGCCGGCCUGAGAGGGUGACCGGCCACAUUGGGACUGAGAUACGGCCCAGACUCCUACGGGAGGCAGCAGUGGGGAAUAUUGCACAAUGGGCGGAAGCCUGAUGCAGCAACGCCGCGUGCGGGAUGACGGCCUUCGGGUUGUAAACCGCUUUCGCCUGUGACGAAGCGUGAGUGACGGUAAUGGGUAAAGAAGCACCGGCUAACUACGUG
rnacentral:rRNA from 1 species